UAUUCAUUUAAAACCUGAACAUAACUUUCUGAGGAUUGGGAGAAUCUGAACUGAAACGGGAAAUAUCAGAAAUCUCAUAAGAAAGAAGAUGGUUUGGGGUAUUCCCCAGCCCAACACUGGAGUUCCAGAUAAGCUUUAAGUACCUGUAGGUGCAUAGAUGCUUGUGGCUUCCCCAUGGGGGAAUUCCUGUACUGCCACUCAUGAAGCCCAUUACCAAGGCAAAGCAGCGAAAGCAGACAGACAUUUGCUCCUGCUGUUCUACUCUGGAAGAUGCCAUCUAAAUGGAUUAGACGGGAAGCUGGCUGCCCAUCUGAAAACA